AGCGAACGCUGGCGGCAGGCCUAACACAUGCAAGUCGAACGAACUCUUCGGAGUUAGUGGCGGACGGGUGAGUAACACGUGGGAACGUGCCUUUUGGUUCGGAAUAACUCAGGGAAACUUGUGCUAAUACCGAAUGUGCCCUUCGGGGGAAAGAUUUAUCGCCAUUUGAGCGGCCCGCGUCUGAUUAGCUUGUUGGUUAGGUAACGGCUCACCAAGGCGACGAUCAGUAGCUGGUCUGAGAGGAUGAACAGCCACACUGGGACUGAGACACGGCCCAGAAUCCUACGGGAGGCAGCAGUGGGGAAUCUUGCGAAAUGGGGGAAAGCAUGACGAAGCCAUGCCGCGUGAAUGAUGAAGGUAUUAGGAUAGUAAAAUUCUUUCAACGGGGACGAUAAUGACGGUACCCGGAGAAGAAGCCCCGGCUAACUUCGUG
rnacentral:rRNA from 1 species